UAGUUUUGGUUUGCAUUUGUCUAAUAAUUUGUGAUGUUGAACAUUUUUUCAUGUUCCUACUGGUUAUCCAUAUGUCUUCAUUGGAAAAAUGCCUAUUUUUCUGUUGGGUUGUUUGUUUUUUUGUUGUUGAGUUGUAUGAGUUGCUUGCAUAUUUUGGAGAUUAAGUCCGUGUCAGUUGCAUUAUUUGCAGCUAUUUUCUUCUAUUUCAUAGGUUGUCUUUUUUGUGUUUGUUUUAUGAUUUCCUUUGCUGUGCAAAAGCUUGUUUGAUUAGGUCCUAUUUGUUUACUUUUGUUUUUAUUUCUAUUGCCUUGGGAGACUGACCUAAGAAAACAUUAGUAUGGGAGUUCCUGUCAUGGCUCAGUGGCUAGUAUCCGUGAGGAUAUGGGUUCAGUCCCUGGCUUCGAUCCGUGGGUUAAGGAUCCGGCAUUGCUGUGGCUAUGCUAUAGGCCAGCAGCUACAGCUCUGAUUGGACCCCUAGCCUGGGAACUUCCAUAUGGUGUGGGUAACAAAACAAAACCCAGAAAACAUUAGUGUGGUUUAUGUCAGAGAAUGUUUUGAAUAUGUUCUAGGAGUUUUAUGUUUCCUUUUCAGCCCUAAUCCUUGUUACAUAGAAAUGCGUACUUGUUAGUUGGAGAAUUCAGACAUUUCAGAAACAGAAAGAAAAGAGCAGAAUCUUCUGAAACAUUCUUAUUGGGUUUCUUUACUUAAUUUUGUCACUGUGCCCUUCUUCCUUGUUUCUGUGCCUAUAUAGGUAAAAAUAGACUUACACCAUCAUUUUCUGUUGUCUUUUGAAGUGCAGAAGUUUUUAAUUUUGAUGAAGUCCAAUAUGUUUUUUUAAUGGUUCAUGCUCCCUUUUUUUGGGUCUUAUUUAAUAAAUCUUGCCAUAACCCAGGACCUCUGAGAUAUUUUUCCUAUGUUUUCUUCAAGAAGUUUUAUAAUUUUGACUCUUGCAUUUAGGACCAUGCUCCAUUUUGAGUUAAUUUUUGUACAUGAUAUGAAGUGAGGGUUAAGAUUCAGUUUAAGAAGUACUUUGAUGAAUGUUCUUAUUUAUAACUGUUCUCUUUCUACUACUUUAAUUAUUUUCUUAAGAUAAAACUCUUAAAAAUAAAACUAUAAGACCAAAGAACAUUCACAGUGAAAUAUUUGAUAUUGUUGCCAGACUGGUUUUCAGACGUUGUACAAUUAGAAAAGACAACCUCCAGAAUGGGAAAAAACAUUUGCAAAUCAUAUAUCUAAUAAGGGAUAUGUGUUUAGAGUAUAUAAAGAACUCUACAACUCAAAAAUAAGAUAAAAAGACAACCCAAUUAAAAAUAGGCAAAUGUCUUAAAUAGACAUUUCUCCUAAGAUAAACAGAGGACCAGAAAGCACUUGAAAAGAUGUUCAACGCCAUUAAUCAUUAGAGAAAUGAAAAUCAAAACCACACUGAGAUACUGCUUUACACCCACUAGGAUAUGAUAAAUGUUGGCAAGGCUGUAGAGAGAUUGGAACCUUCCUACACUGCUGGUGGGAAUGUGAAAUAGUGCAGCUGCUGUGGGAAAUAGCCUAGUAGUUCCUAAAAAAUUAAACAUGCAGGUACCAUUUGCCCCAGCAGUUUCACUCCUAUGAAAGCAUACGUCCAUACAAAAGCUUGUACAUGAAUGUUCUUAGCAGAAUUAUUUGUGGAAACAAUUCAAAUGCCCAUCAACUAAUUAAUAAACAAAAUAUGAUAUAUCCGUGUAAUGGAAUAUUAGCCAUGAAGUGGAAUGAAAUACUUGCUCCAACAUGUAUGAACCUUGAAAACAUACUAAGUGGAAGAAGCCAGUCACCAAAAAACCACAUGUUAUAUGAGUCCAAUUAUAUGCAAUGUCCAGAAUGGGCACAUACGGAGAAACAGAAAGUGGAUGAGGGAAGUUGAUGUUGUGGCUUAAUGGUAACGAGCCCAACAAGUAUCCUUGAGGAUGUGGGUUCAAUCCCUGGCCUUGCUCAUUGAGUUAAGGAACCGGCAUUGCUGUGAGCUGUGGUAUAGGUAGCAGAUGUGGCUCAGAUCUGGUGUUGCUGUGGCUGUGGUGUAGGCCAG
rnacentral:lncRNA from 1 species